rnacentral:tRNA from 1 species
AUUUAAGUAGUUUAUAAAAAAUGUAGGGCUGUGGUUCCUAAGAAAUACAAUUUUAUCUUAAGUU